CAGCAGCAGCCACGGUAAUACAGAGGGUGCGAGCGUUAAUCGGAUUUACUGGGCGUAAAGCGUGCGUAGGCGGCUUCUUAAGUCGGAUGUGAAAUCCCUGAGCUUAACUUAGGAAUUGCAUUCGAUACUGGGAAGCUAGAGUAUGGGAGAGGAUGGUAGAAUUCCAGGUGUAGCGGUGAAAUGCGUAGAGAUAUGGAGGAAUACCGAUGGCGAAGGCAGCCAUCUGGCCUAAUACUGACGCUGAGGUACGAAAGCAUGGGGAGCAAACAGGAUUAGAUACCCCAGUAGUCCCUGUCUCUUAUAC
rnacentral:rRNA from 1 species